rnacentral:rRNA from 1 species
UACGAAGGGUGCAAGCGUUACUCGGAAUUACUGGGCGUAAAGCGUGCGUAGGCGGUUUGUUAAGUCCGCUGUGAAAGCCCUGGGCUCAACCUGGGAAUUGCAGUGGAUACUGGCAAGCUAGAGUGCGGUAGAGGAUGGUGGAAUUCCCGGUGUAGCGGUGAAAUGCGUAGAGAUCGGGAGGAACACCUGUGGCGAAGGCGGCCAUCUGGACCAGCACUGACGCUGAGGCACGAAAGCGUGGGGAGCGAACAGG